rnacentral:rRNA from 1 species
CAGCAGCCGCGGGAAUACCGAGGGUGCAAGCGUUAAUCGGAAUUACUGGGCGUAAAGCGCGCGUAGGUGGUUUGUUAAGUUGGAUGUGAAAUCCCCGGGCUCAACCUGGGAACUGCAUCCAAAACUGGCAAGCUAGAGUAUGGUAGAGGGUGGUGGAAUUUCCUGUGUAGCGGUGAAAUGCGUAGAUAUAGGAAGGAACACCAGUGGCGAAGGCGACCACCUGGACUGAUACUGACACUGAGGUGCGAAAGCGUGGGGAGCAAACAGGAUUAGAUACCCCAGUAGUCCCUGUCUCUUAUAA